AGCUCUGCGCAGUGGCAGUGUCAUAGCCAAUGAGGUCAAACUGAGGCGUGAUUAUUGCUAAUUGUGCUGAAGCUUCAUGAAAGUGGAGGGGCCGGCUUAUUUUUGGUUAGGGGCUUUGCAC
rnacentral:snRNA from 17 species